CUUUUAUUCUUGUUAAUUACCGUAUCUCGGUGCUACAUUAUUAUUCCGCUUUUAUUACCGUGAAUAUUAUUUUGGUAGGGGGUUUAUUCACAAUAUAGUUCCACUAAGUAAAUGUCUUUCUUGAUGUGUGUUUUACAAGAAAAGGAGAAAACUCUUCUCUGUUAAAGAAGAAGAUUGAUAAGAAAGGCAGAGUAAUUUUCUUUUUUAUUGUUCGUUCAUUCUCCAUGGAAUAGAAAGACCAAAAUAAGUCUUAUAGGGAAAGAAAUUAACUGUUUUGAGAAAAUUGCUCUCAACUAUACCCAAACGUGUAGCAACUUCUCCAAAGAAGUUAUUUUAUUCUCAAACUCUAUGUGUUCCCAAAUGGGUUGGAUCAGCCCAUAUAAAGCGACCCAAUAUCCGAAUUUAAUACCCAACACUAUGACUACAAAAAUUUAAGCCCUAAACCUCAACAGUAAGUUAGAGCCUUGGAUUCUAACUAAAUAAAUGUAAUGCUUUUAUCUGCAUUACGUUAAAUUCUCUUGAAUGAGCCACCAAUAGAGACAAAAAAAGAUUAUUUCCACAUGAGCAGUUGCUUUGGGAAAGCUAUUCAGAUUGUCCAAGAAUUGUGUGAGAUCAAUUACCAAAAGAAAACAAGAAUAAUACUUUUUAAAAGACUCACUGAACGCACCUUAAAACUUUGUUGGGGGACAAUUGAUGUAUAUGGUUCUUACUAGAUAUGGAAAAAAAUAUUUUUUAAAAAAGUGGGAUGGCACUAUCAUGGGAAGAUUUCACAACAGAUAAUGCAUUCAAUCAUUUUGCCAGUAAUAACAUAUCCAAUAAUAAGCAACUCCCUCCUGAAUGCAGAAAAUAAUACUACGUGCGUUGCAGAUUUUGGGAUCAUUUUUUUUGGCAGCCAUGUGAAGAAGGAAAUAAUAAUUGUAUAGUCAUCGGACAGACAGCAGCAGACCCCAAGUGUUGAGGACUCAUGCAAUUGCACAUAGUACAUACUACAUAUAUAUGGUAGCAGCUUCUUUAUGUAAUACUUUGACCUAGACACAGAUAGAUCAUUUCCAUUAAUGCAUUCGACUAGAAUAUGAUCUAAAGGAAGAAUCAGAGAAGCCAGGCUUCAAAAACCUGUCAAGGAGAGAACAUAUACAGCAAAAAUAACAACUAUGCCUCAGCAAGUCGGGGUCGGCUAUAUUAAUCCUCAUUUUCCAUGUCACUCCAAUUAAUUAAACCCCUCUCAAGGAGAGAACAUAGAGGUACAAGCUGUAACUUCCAGUUUACCUAAUAUCCUCCUCUAUGGUUUUAAUUCAUGAUGACUUCUAUCA